rfam:Aedes aegypti strain Liverpool supercont1.353 genomic scaffold, whole genome shotgun sequence.
CAAACGGUCUUUUUUAAGACCAAAGAGUUGUUGGAAAUAAUUUCUU